UGAGUUCAAACAAAAGCCAGGAGUAACGAUAUUUUCUACAUAGGAACAAUUCAAUCUUUUUAGUUUUAACAAAUAUUUACGUAUACUAAAUCAAACAAAGAGGUCAAAACUUUGAGGAUAAUUUCAUUGAGCCUGAGCAGAAGGGUGUUUUUUUUUUUAUGGUUCCUUAGGUCAACGUGGCCCGUAUUACUUCAUUUGUCGAUCGACAGUUAGCGAGGUGACACACAUGAAAAUGCAAUCAGUCGUUGAUUUCCACUUGGCAUAGUCUACCUUGACUGGAAAAUCAGGAACAGAGCAACGAAAAACAGCCGUACUGCCACGACGAACUCGAGGAUUCUCGACGUUGACCUCGAAUGGCGGCAAAAUCACUUUUUUUGGCGCCAAAAAGAAAAUACCUGCACGGACGCGCACAGGAGUGGAGAGGAUGCGACCAAUGAAAUUGGCUGCCAAACACCUGUAGGUGGCAGCGUGAACGUCUGGUCGGAACUGCUCCGGCCGGAAGUUGACGUUGCAGUUGACGGUGCAGACGUAGAAGAUGAUUCGACUGGAUUCCAGAUGCCGCUGCCUGCCGCGCUGCUGCCUAAACGUUCUUUAAAAUCAAGUAUUCCGUUCAUUAUACAACUCAAAUGAAAAGGGGAAUAGAAUUGUGUUAACCUUUGGA